GCUCGGACCCGUCCGGCGGGGCCGCUCAGCCAGCGCGGCGGCAGGCGGGCAUGGCGGCCUCCAGGGCGGGGUAGGCCGGGCUCGGGGGGGCGGGGUAAACCAGGAUUGCCGGGCCGGGGCUUCGGCGGCCUUACCCCGCGCGGGGCCGCGCCGCGGCCCCGCACUCACCUGCCGCCGGCCCCGCCGUCCGGGGAAGGCCCCGCCGGCCCCGCACUUCCGUGCCGCCGGGCCCGCCCCGCUCCCACGGCGAAACCACGCGGGGCGGCGCCGAGCGACGCCGGGGCUGCCUCCCCGGCGCAGGCCGGCAGGGCACGGCAUGGCCCGGACCGGCCUGCUCCAAGGUGCCUCCCGCUCGUGUACCAAGGCUGCCCGUGCCUUCCCUGCCCGCAGGUCUGCUGUAUUCUGUUUGAGAUGGAUUAUUCCUGAGUGGCAUUAACCCAUGCAGAGCCCACUGCUGCCUAUGGAAAAUGAGUAUUAUUGUUUCCCCUAUGGAUUAUGUUACUUUUUAAAAUGCAAUUUUAUCUUCUAUUUUACUGCCUGGUGAAGGUGAGAUCUUCAGUCAGCCCUCUGGGACCACCUUCUUUCCCCAUAUUUCUUAGGACGGCACCCAAAUGUCAUACGAAGUCCAUCUCCUUUGCAUUUGCCAAGACCAAGCAUCCUCUCUGGUAUCACAAAUCCAGCUAUUUACAUGCCUGAUAAUGUCAUUUCCUGCCAUGGUGGCCCACAAAAAGCAAAUGAACUCCAAUACGCACACCUGAGAUGACAGAAGGCUCCUUCCAAAAUACUGCUCAAACACAAGACUGUCCUGAGAUUUGAGCUCAGGAAAGCAUUUCACUGGGGCUUGAGUGGAAGAACUAAAAGUCUGAUCAGGCCACUGUCAACCAACUGGAUAAAUCCAGAUUUGCAGUGCUUAGGACCACAUCAUAACUACUGCAACCACAAAAAACCAAAUUGCUGACCCAAUGUACACUGAUUCUGACAGGUCAACAGGAUCCAAGAAACUUUGUAUGAGAGUAAAAUUCACUUGAGGGUCCUGGCUUUGGAUCUGGUGGUGUCUGCAAGCACUGCUCUACUAGACUGCAUGGCUGAAUCCCGCACAGUCACCACCUCUCCCCACAAACCUGUCCCCAAAUCCCUGGUCCACAGAUGUCACUGCCCUCCCAUAUGCCCACACUCUGGCAUCUGCUGGUCUUGGCAUUUUUCUUGGUGGACAUCAGUUUCUCCACAUGCAGAUCUGGCUCAAGUUGUAGCCACCCCUUCCAUUUGGACUGAGGCUUGAUACAUCAGUGACAAGAGCAGCUUAGGUCACAGCUGAGUUACAUCAACCUGAUGCACAACCUGUGUGCAUGUCCAUGCACAUGCCAUGCUUGUGCAUAGGUGCUGCACACACUGUGUGCUUCUGUGCGUGCCCCCAUUCCUGUAAAGGUGAUUCACACACUGUGUGUGUCCAUGAACGCCCCUGUGCCAGCCCCUAUCCAAAGUCACCUUCCAAAUCACAGUGUUUGCUGGUGAAGAGGAAUCAGGGUGUUCUGGACCAAGUGAUUCUUGUGGCCGUCACCUGCCCCGCUGCUUGCUGCUGCAUUUGUUAUUUCUCCUCCCCAGGGAGGACCAGCUCAAGUGCUGUUGGCUUUCCCAGUCUGGAGUUCUCUACCAUCACCUUCCCACUUCUGCAGUAAUCGCUGCUGUGCCGUCAUGGGCAGACAGCCGAUGCCCAGCAAAUCUGCUCCAUCUGUCAAUCCUGUGCUGGAGGGAUGCAGUGCCACCAGCGAUGUGCCUGCAGCGCACGAUGCAACAGCUUGACAGGCAAGACUAGGACCAAAUAGAUACCAACACACCUCUGUGUUAAAGACCAGGCUGCCAAGGCAUGAGAUGCUCCUGAGGCCGAUGGAAGGAUGCGACCCCCGUGACUGCAUGGAGCAGUGCUGCUGGCCGGGGCAGGAGCCUUGUGCCUGCAAGAAAUGGGGGAAUGUUUUAGCUGGUCCUGAGACAUCUUCGAGGUGCGAGGAAUAAAAAAAAAAGAAUAAAAUAUGCUUUCUCCCAAAAAGAUCAACUCG